GAUGAAGAACGUAGCGAAAUGCGAUAAGUAAUGUGAAUUGCAGAAUUCAGUGAAUCAUCGAGUCUUUGAACGCACAUUGCGCCCCCUGGUAUUCCGGGGGGCAUGCCUGUCCGAGCGUCAUUGCUGCCCUCAAGCACGGCUUGUGUGUUGGGCCGUCGUCCCCCUCCUAGGGGACGGGCCCGAAAGGCAGCGGCGGCACCGCGUCCGGUCCUCGAGGGUAUGGGGCUUCGUCACCCGCUCCGUAGGCCCGGCCGGCGCUUGCCGACGACCAUCAAUCUCUUUCUCCAGGUUGACCUCGGAUCAGGUAGGGAUACCCGCUGAACUUAAGCAUAUCAAUAAGCGGAGGA
rnacentral:misc_RNA from 1 species